rnacentral:rRNA from 1 species
UACGUAGGCAGCAAGCGUUGUUCGGAGUUACUGGGCGUAAAGGGUGUGUAGGCGGUCUUCUAAGUUUGGUGUGAAAUCUCCCGGCUCAACUGGGAGGGUGCGCCGAAAACUGGGAGGCUAGAGUACUGGAUGGGAGGAGUGGAAUUCUGGUGUAGCGGUGAAAUGCGUAGAUAUCAGGAGGAACACCGGUGGUGUAGACGGCUCUCUGGACAGUAACUGACGCUGAGACACGAAAGCGUGGGUAGCAAACAGG